rnacentral:rRNA from 1 species
CGGUAAUACGUAGGUGGCAAGCGUUAUCCGGAAUUAUUGGGCGUAAAGCGCGCGUAGGCGGUUUUUUAAGUCUGAUGUGAAAGCCCACGGCUCAACCGUGGAGGGUCAUUGGAAACUGGAAAACUUGAGUGCAGAAGAGGAAAGUGGAAUUCCAUGUGUAGCGGUGAAAUGCGCAGAGAUAUGGAGGAACACCAGUGGCGAAGGCGACUUUCUGGUCUGUAACUGACGCUGAUGUGCGAAAGCGUGGGGAUCAAACAGGAUUA